rnacentral:rRNA from 1 species
UACGUAGGGACCGAGCGUUGUCCGGAAUCAUUGGGCGUAAAGAGCGUGUAGGCGGCCACUUAAGUCCUGCGUGAAAUCUUGCGGCUCAACCGCAAGCGGUCGUGGGAAACUGGGUGGCUAGAGUGCGGGAGAGGAGAGUGGAAUUCCUGGUGUAGCGGUGGAAUGCGCAGAUAUCAGGAAGAACACCCGUGGCGAAGGCGGCUCUCUGGACCGCAACUGACGCUGAGACGCGAAAGCGUGGGGAGCAAACAGG